CCGGGCAACCGGCGCACGGGUGAGUAACACGUAUGCAACCUGCCCGUCUCAGGGGGAUAAUCGUCGGAAACGGCGUCUAAUACCCCGUAUGAAGCUGACGGCAUCGUCUGGUUUUGAAAGAAUAUCGGAGACGGAUGGGCAUGCGGCGCAUUAGCUAGUUGGCGGGGUAACGGCCCACCAAGGCGACGAUGCGUAGGGGUUCUGAGAGGAAGGUCCCCCACACUGGUACUGAGACACGGACCAGACUCCUACGGAAGGCAGCAG
rnacentral:rRNA from 1 species